rnacentral:misc_RNA from 1 species
GUGGCAGGAGCUGAUGCAACGAAGUAAAUUUCCAUUUCUAAUUUUUUGGGCACCAUGCUUGAUUAUGUUUUUUGAAAAUUUUGACUAGUUUUGGAAGUCCCUACACCUGUUUGAGUUGUUGAUUUCAUCUUCUGUUGGAAAUUUGGAAUUUUAAGGAAUAUUGUACCUUUGAUGUAAUUUUUGGUCAUUGAUUGAUUAGCUUUUACUGUCAAAUCAUGAAAUUUAUGAGAAAUGGGGAGUUGCAACAUGCAAUUUGUUAGUUGAAUGAACUAUCAAGUUAUGAAGCUGCUUUUUAUUUGAUCUUGAGAUAUUUCAUGGAUAUGUGGUUUCAUGGUAGAUUUAGUAGUUGUAAAGAUACUAUCUUAAAUUGUGUAUUAAGAUUCUAAUGCUUCUGAGGAUAGGCUAGUAAAUUUUCAUCUGUUAUGGAAUAGUAGAAAUGCUAUAGCCCAUGGCUUAUUAUUAAGUGGAUGAUCAGUGAUGAUGAUAGGAGUUAAAUGGUGCACAGUAUUGACAAAACUAAACCAUUUGCUGCAUGAUACGGCCAGUCAACAUAUGCUUGAUGCAUUAUGCUUCAUGCUUUCUUUUUAUUUUUUUGCUGUACUAUGCAGGAAGGAGCUUCUACGGGCUAUUGA